AGUUUGUUAGGAAAAUCACUUGAGAGGCACGUGCUUAGCAGCUGCAGAAGGAAGGCUUCCUAAAGUUAGUUAUAAAUAACUCUGCCGCCUCUUCUAUAUAGCAGAUAUUUUUCCUUUUUCUGUACUCAUUCAUGUACUUUUGGUAAUAAGAAUUCUAUCUCUUUUCUUCUCUCUUUUAUCUUCAGUUCCCAGAACUCCAUUGUUGAGUUCUAAUCGAGCCACUGUUCAAGAGCAAUUCUCCAUAUUUUUGCUCUUUAGGUGAGUUCAUCGUGUUUCAUUGUUGGAAUUCAAUCGAGUUCAUAUCAUUGGUAUCAGAGCCGUCAUUCCUUGGAGCUGUGGAAAUGGCCGACCACAACACUCGAAUGCACGAGUUAAGGAAGGAGGUUGAUAAUCUCAAGGGUUCAAUAAACGGCGUGACAUAAACUGUGGCAGAAUUGCAGAAAUCCGUCGAUGCUAAGGUGACCCAGGCUAUGGAGGAAAUUAGGAAAAUGUUGAUGGGAAAUUUGAUGACAACUAGGGGUCAAAAUCACGAGUCUGCUGUGGAGAAUGAGAGGCCAGUGGUGGAAGCUCGUCGUCACAAGGGCCAUCAACCCCCAAAUUGUGAAUAUCAUACAGAAUUUUCUAUUUUUGAUGGAGCAAGGCUGAAGGACUGGUUAUACAAAUGCGAACAAAUUUUUGCGUAUGAGGAUAUACCUGAAGAAUCCAAGGUUAGGGCAGUUUCAUGCAAACUGGAGGGAAGAGCUCUACAAUGGCAUCAAUCCUAUAUGAUGCAAAGGGUAACCAGGCAUUGGCCAAGAUGAGGUGAGUAUGUAGCUUGCUUUAUGAUCCUAUGGGAGACCUUAAAGAUCUAAGGCAGGUAAACUCAGUCCAAGAUUAUGUUGACUUGUUUGAUGAAGUGUUAACUAGGGUGGAAUUAUCAGAAGAAUAUGUUGUUAAUUGUUUCAUUAGAGGUCUAAAACCAGAAAUUGGAUUACCUGUGAAGAUGCUAGCACCUAGAUCUUUAGUUAAAGCCAUUAGUUUAGCUAGGAUUCAUGAGCAGAAAUUGGUAGUUCAAAAAUAAAUUUUCAUGAUUCCUUCAAAUCCCUCAUUUUCAACCAAAAAUACAUCAAAAUUUUCAGCUUAUAACCCUCAAACCUUCCAAUCCCAUAUUCAUAUACCUCCCAAAUUUAGCCUACCACCAAAUAAAACCACCAACUCCAAAACCUUACCUGCUAAACCUACCUACAGAAAUGCCAAAAGAUUAACCCCUGCUGAAAUGGAGGAAAGAAUGAGCAAGGGCCUUUGUUAUAACUGUGAUAAGAAAUACAGUUUAGGGCAUGUAUGCAAGAACAUGAGGCAAUUGUUUUCUAUUGAGCUGGAAGAAGACUCAGAAGGGGUGGAAGUAGAGCAAGAUGUUAUGUUGGAUUCAGCAGAAUUACUAAGCAUGAUUGGCCAAGGGUGGGAAACUGAUGAUGAGGGUUCCAUUUUACCUCAUGUGUCAGUUCAUGCUAUGAAUGACCUGCAUGACUUUAGAAUUAUGAGGGUGACUGUAUCAAUCAAGGGCAAGGCUAUAAAAGUUCUAAUUGAUACUAGCAGCACUCACAACUUCUUGGACCUUAAUACUGCCAAGAAAUUGGGUUGUGUAUUGACAGUUAUAGCCCCUUUUGAUGUGUCUGUGGCUGAUGGGAAGAAGGUUAAAAGAAACUACAUAUGCAAGAAAUUGGUAUGGAAGAUGCAAGGUAUGUCAUUUGAUUCAGAUAUGUUGGUAUUACCCAUUGGAGCAUGCAGUAUGGUCUUGGGAAUUCAGUGGCUAAUUACAUUGGGGGACAUCAUGUGGAAUUUCAAAAAACUGAGGAUGGAGUUCAGCAUUAUGGGGCACAAAGUGUCAUUAAGAGGGAUACAACCUCCAGCUACCAAGUUUAUUCAACAAGGUAGCAUGGACAAGUUGUUGGCUAAACCUGCAGAACUAUGCAUGAUAUCUGUAGGGUUGUUCAAGGAACACUCACAACAAGCUUGGGACAUUAGCCUAUUGACAAUGGAAGGAUCAACUAAGGAGCCUGCCAGGAGUGAGGAACUGCAAGCCAUAUUGCAGCAUUACAGUGAUCUUUUUGAGGAACCAAAACAGCUUCCUCCUUCCAGGUAGCAUGACCAUAAGAUCAUCCUGAAAGAAGGUACUUCUCUUAUUAAUAUCAGACCUUAUAGAUAUCCUAAUGUGCAGAAAAAUAAAAUUGAGAAGAUGGUGAAUGAGAUGUUAGACUCUGGGGUAAUAAGAAAUAGUACUAGCCCUUACUCAUCUCCUAUUGUAAUGGUUAAGAAGAAAGAUGGAUCUCUGGCGUUUAUGUGUAGAUUAUAGGGAGUUGAACAACUGCACUGUCAAAGACAAAUUCCCUAUAACUGUAAUUGAAGAACUGUUGGAUGAAUUGCGUGGUGCUAAGUAAUUUUUAAGCUAGAUCUAGGGUAGGAUACCACCAAAUUAGGAUGUUUGAACAUGACAUACCUAAGACUGCCUUUAGAACUCACCAUGGUCACUAUGAAUUCCUAGUUAUGCCUUUUGGUUUAACUAAUGCCCCUUCCACCUUCCAAAGCUUAAUGAAUCCGAUUUUUCACAAAGUUCUCAGGAAGUUCAUCCUUGUGUUCUUUGAUGAUAUACUCAUAUAUAGUCAAAGCUGGAAUGAUCAUUUAGUGCAUCUGUAGGAAACGUUCAAGGUAUUGAGAUUUCAUACUUUGUUCAUCAAACAGAGCAAAUGUGCUUUUGGAGUCACUCAUAUUGACUACUUAGGCCACAUUAUCUCUGAACAUGGUGUGUCUAUGGAUACUCAGAAGGUAAGAGGGGUGCUAGAGUAGCCACUACCUUCUUCUGUUAAGGGCCUAAGGGAAUUCUUCGGGCUGACUGGCUAUUACAGGAGGUUUAUCAAAGGGUAUGGUGUCAUAGCAAGGCCUUUAACUGAUUUGCUUAAGAAGGGAAACUUCCAAUGGAAUGUUGAAGCCACUGCUGCUUUUUGAAGAAUUAAAGAAGGCUAUUACUUCAACACCUGUUCUAGCCCUUCCUGAUUUCUCGAAAAAGUUCACAGUGGAGACUGAUGCUUCUGGUGUAGGGAUUGGAGCUGUUCUAGCCCAAGAGAACAAACCUAUUGCUUUUUUUAGUAAGGGUCUGUCUGCCAAGAACAAAGCUCUAUCACUAUAUGAAAGGGAAUUACUUGCCUUAGUUUCUGUUGUACAAAAAUGGAGACCUUAUUUGCUGUACAAAAAUGAAGACCUUAUUUGUCAGUGGUACUCUCAGAUGAAGGUCAUGUUCUAUUGGAGCUUUGAAUCUAUAUUGGAUAGACGCAUGAUUCAGAAACAUGGGCGUGCUAUUUCUCAUAUCUUGGUCAAAUGGUUUAAUGCUGCCCCUGAAGAUAGCACUUGGGAGGAUUACUAUGACAUACGACAAAGGUUUCCAUCAUUUGAUCCUUGAGGACAAGGAUUGUCUGUAGAGGGGGGGUAGUGAUACGAUCCUAGUAGUCAAGUACCAUACUAGAACAUUCUUUGGAAAAGUAGUUAGAAGUUUGUUAGGAAAAUCACGUGAAAGGCGUGCUAAGCAGCUGAAGAAGGAAGGCUUCCUAAAGUUAGUUAUAACUAACUUUGUCGCCUCUUCUAUAUAGCAUAUAUUUUUCCUUUUUUUGUACUCAUUCAUGUAUUGUUGGUAAUAAAAAUUCUAUCUCCUUUCUUCUCUCUUUUAUUUUCAGUUCCCAGAACUCCAUUGUUGAGUUCUAAUCGAGCCACUGUAAAAGAGCAAUUCUCCACAUUUUUGCUCUUUAGGUGAGUUCAUCGUGUUUCAUAGUUGGAAUUCGAUCGAGUUCUUAUCAUUAGCAGGUCGAUCAAAUGUAUUGCCAACUAUUUGACUAAAAAGUCUUGAUAUCCUUAUGUAGAACAAAGAAGAACUCAGGAUUUUAGCAGGAAACUAGAACACAAAACUUUAGAAAACAAACUUUCAGAGUUUUAUUUAUUUUUUGUUUUGUUUUGUUUUGGUUGGUUUGGUUAUGUAGUCUUUUAUUUUUUUUAGUUGUUUCUUUUUGUUAGCUUUCUGUUGUGUAAUUUAACAUCAAUCUUACGUGUAAAUUACAAUAUUAUUAUUAUUAUUAUUAUUAUUAUUUAUUUUUGUGAAAAGAUAUAAAUAAAGUUUGGUUUUCUG
rnacentral:lncRNA from 1 species